rnacentral:lncRNA from 1 species
CCCUUCCUUCGGCCCCGCCCAGCCCCGCCGGCCGCCCGCUCCCUGGGGAACCGAGGGAGGAAUGGGCGGGGUCCUCAGGUGCCCGGCGACGUCAUCCAGCCCCCAAGGCUCCAGGACGCAAAGGGUCCCCUGAUCUGGCAGUCCCUGGACCUACCCUGGAGAGCGUGGGGGGACAAAGGCCGGACGCGCCGCCCGCUGCCGCCUCCAGGAAGCCCUCCCUUGCCAGGACAGUGGAGUUGGCCGGGUCCUUCCAAAGUGCCUACGGAAAGCUUUGUCCCAUCCUUGAAAAAUUGCUAAUGGGUUUGGAGAUACGAGGUGGAGAUGACUAGCAAUCAAACUCAAAGGUGGAAGUCACAUCGAGGCAGAUGAGCAGAUGAGGGGACCUAGAGAAGAAGAGAGGUGCAAGGAGAGCCCAGCCAGCAGGAACAUCUGCCCCAGUAGGCAGCACUGCCCCACAUCAGAGUCGAGGAAAGCAAAGCUCGGAUUGGAUAAAAGAAACUUGCAAACACGGAUGAAGGGAAAAGCUUCAUGACAUUGGAUUUGGCAGUGAUUCCUUGGAUAUGACCCCAAAAGCACAGAUAACGAAAGAAAAAAUAGUUAAAUUGUCUUCAUCAAAAUUAAAACUUUUGUACAUCAAAGAACUCUUUCAAAAGAGUGAAAAAGUCACAGAAUAAGAGAAAAUCAUAUACCUGAUAAAGAAUUAAUAUUCAGAGCCAGAUGCAGUGGCUCAUGCCUGUAAUCCCAGCACUUUGGGAGGCCAAGGCAGGCAGAUCACUUGAGAUCAGGAGUUCGAGACAAGCCUGGCUAAAAUGGUGAAACCCCAGCUCUACUAAAAAUACAAAAAUUAGCCAGGCGUGGUGGCGUGCACCUGGAAUCCCAGCUAUUCGGGAGGCUGAGGCAGGAGAAUCGCUUGAACUCAGAAGGCAGAGGUUGCAGUGAGCCAAGAUCACACCACUGCACUCCAGCCUGGGCGACAAAGUGAGACUCCAUCUCAAAAAAACAAAACAAAACAAAACAAAACAAAGAGUUACUAUUCAGAAUAUAUUAAGAAUUCCUACAACUCAACAACAAAAAAAAAUCCAACCCAAUUAAAAAAUGGGCAACAGACCCAAAUAGACAUUUCUUAGAAGACACACAAAUGGCCAAUAAGCUCAUGAAAACAUGUUUAACAUCACUAAUCAUUAGGGAAAUGCAAAUCAAAGCUAAAAUGAGAUACCACGUCACACUCAUUAGGUGUUAUUUUUUAAAAAUAACACAACAACAAAAAAUAAGAAAUGUGGGCGAGGAUGUGAAGAAAUUGAAACCCUUGUGGACUGUUGUUGGGGAUGUAAAAUGGCGCAGCUGCUGGGGAAAACAGUAUGGGAGUUCCUCACAAAACUAAACAGAAUUGCCAAACGACCCAGCGAUCCUGCCUCUGACAUAUACUGGAAAGAACUGAAAUAAGGCGCUGGAACAGACACUUGUAACCCAUGUUCACAGCUGAGCCAAAAGGUGGGAGUAACCCAAAUGUCCAUCAGUGGAUGAAUACUGGCAAUAAAAGCUGUGUCUGGAGGCCACUCCGUUUCACACAGCUCUCCACACGGGUGAGGGCACAGCCUUCUCGUCUCUUUCCUAUGCUGCAUCUUCAGAGCUAGCUAUGAUAUGAUAUGAUG